UUCUGCAUCUGUAAAGGUAUAAAAGAGAAGCUCAACAUCCAAAGAGCAACACUACAUCCUCUUCUCUUGUCUCUGAGAAAACCUACUGAAGGUAAAAUCACUGCAACCAUGCUGAAGGUAGCACUUAUUCUUGGAUGCCUCCUGAGCCUCAUUGUGGCUGAAACUAUGGAAGAACAGCGUUUUGCUCGUUCAAGCUCUGGUUCUAACUCCAGAGAGGUGAGUACCACCACGACUACGGUCGCAGGAGCAACUACAGCUUCAUUAACUCUGACCCAGCUCCUGGCCCUGCUCCGACAACUACUCAAUCAGUAAUGAU